UGUGACGAUAGUCUUCCUCGCGGACUGG
rnacentral:piRNA from 1 species